rnacentral:lncRNA from 1 species
CCGCCGCCGCCUAAUUCGCCUGCUUCACCUGCUCCGCCGCCGCCUGCUCCGCCCCCUACCUGCCUGCUCCCAUAAGCUCAGCCCCUAAUUCGAAACCCUAGCCUAAAAUCAGGUAAUAGCUGAAUGCAGGGGCUAUCUGUAAUCAAUUUUUUUCUACUUCCCCAUAUAUGGCUGAAUGCAGGGGCUAUCUGUAAUCAAUUUAAGGAAAUUCAUAUAGUCAUUUAACGUAUUCGAUUAAGGAAUAGGAAUUCAUGGUUGUCUGUAAUCAAUUUGAAUCGAUUAAGGAAUUCAUGGUUGUCUGUAAUCAAUUUGAAGGUUUAAUUAUUUGUUAGUACAUUUGAUUGAGGCGCUCUCUCACACAGAUUUACUUUUCUACUUCCAGAUUUGCUGUGGUCGUGUUGAUUGCCACUAUUCAGGUUGGUCCAAUUCCCUUCACUAGUGUGUGUAUUCAUCUUGAGUCUAUUCCAUUCUGUUAUCAUGGUUGGCAACUAGGA